rnacentral:rRNA from 1 species
GUGGGGAAUAUUGCGCAAUGGGGGAAACCCUGACGCAGCGACGCCGUGUGAGGGAAGAAGGCUUUCGGGUCGUAAACCUCUGUCAGAAAGGAAGAACCUCCCAAGUCCGAAUAGGGCUUGGGACUGACGGUACUUUCAAAGGAAGCACCGGCUAACUCCGUGCCAGCAGCCGCGGUAAUACGGAGGGUGCAAGCGUUAAUCGGAAUCACUGGGCGUAAAGCGCGCGUAGGCGGCUUUCUAAGUCGGGCGUGAAAGCCCUCGGCUCAACCGGGGAAUUGCGUUCGAAACUGGAUGGCUUGAGUCCUGGAGAGGGUGGCGGAAUUCCGGGUGUAGGAGUGAAAUCCGUAGAUAUCCGGAGGAACACCGGUGGCGAAGGCGGCCACCUGGACAGGUACUGACGCUGAGGCGCGAAAGCGUGGGGAGCAAACAGGAUUAGAAACCCGUGUAGUCC